rnacentral:rRNA from 1 species
UACGGAGAGUGCAAACGUUGUUCGGAUUCACUGGGCGUAAAGGGCACGUAGGCGGCCAGGCAAAUCGAUCGUGGAAUACCGACGCUUACCGUCGGUGCGGCGGUCGAAAAUACCUGGCUCGAGGGCGUAAGAGGUCGCUGGAACUCCUGGUGGAGCGGUGAAAUGCGUAGAUAUCAGGAGGAACGCCGGAGGCGAAAGCGGGCGACUGGUGCGUUCCUGACGCUGAGGUGCGAAAGCUGGGGGAGCAAACAGG